CGGAUGAACGCUGGCGGCGUGCCUAAUACAUGCAAGUCGAACGGGAGACCUCAUUUCGAUGGGGUUGAGAGUGGCGCACGGGUGAGGAACACAUGGCUGACCUGCCCUUCAGAGGGGGAUAACGGCUGGAAACGGCUGCUAAUACCCCAUACGCUCCUUGGGAUUAGAGGCCUGAGGAGGAAAGCCUUCGGGUGCUGAAGGAGGGGGCUGUGGCCCAUCAGCUUGUUGGUAGGGUAACGGCCUACCAAGGCGACGACGGGUAGGGGGCCUGAGAGGGUGACCCCCCACACUGGGACUGAGACACGGCCCAGACUCCUACGGGAGGCAGCAGUGGGGAAUAUUGCACAAUGGGCGAAAGCCUGAUGCAGCGACGCCGCGUGAAGGAUGAAGGUCUUCGGGUCGUAAAGCUCUGUCCUAAGGGAAGAAACGGACGGUACCUUAGGAGGAAGCCCCGGCUAACUACGUG
rnacentral:rRNA from 1 species